CCUACGGGUGGCAGCAGUGAGGAAUAUUGGUCAAUGGACUAGAGCCUGAACCAGCCAAGUAGCGUGAAGGAUGACUGCCCUAUGGGUUGUAAACCUCUUUUAUAUGGGAAUAAAAUGUUCCACGUGUGGCCUUUUUUAUGUUCCAUGUGAAUAAGGAUCGGCUAACCCCGUGCCAGCAGCCGCGGUAAUUCGGGUGAUCCGAGCGUUAUCCGGAUUUUUUGGGGUUAAAGGGAGCGUAGGUGGGUUGUUAAGUUAGGUGUGAAAGUUGGGGGGUCAACCGUAGAAUUGCAGUUGAAACUGGCGGUCUUGAGUACAGUAGAGGUAGGCGGAAUGCGUGGUGUAGCGGUGAAAUGCAUAGAUAUCACGAAGAACUCCGAUUGCGAAGGCAGCUCACUGGACUGCAACUGACGCUGAGGCACGAAAGUGUGGGUAUCGAACAGGAUUAGAUACCCCAGUAGUC
rnacentral:rRNA from 1 species